CACCAUAUCCGCCUCUCAAUGACAUUUUAAAAUAAGAGGCAAAUCCCUGUUUCAGAACAGCCAGAGUAUCUGCUACAAGCACAAGAACCUAUAUCGAUGGGAAUUGAGAUUCAUCUCAAGCAAAUCCUGAGCCAGAUUGAAUAUGCUGGAAAGACAGAUACAUAUGCUCUACUCAAACGAAAAAUCAAGAUCAAAACAUUUCACCCAUGACCCUUUUGAGCAUCCUGACGAUUAAAAUGACUUCCCCGUGUUUUAUGGGCCAGCAAGGUCUCCAGCUCUUUCUUACAGAGGAAGAACUGUCUCAGAGAUGGUCUUCAUGCUCUCCUAUGUAUCGAUUUGUUUUGCCCUGAUGUGCUUGUAGGAGAGAACUCUAAUGUUUUCAGUAGAGCAGCUUUCAUUUUUAUGUACUCUCUUCUGUUGUAAAUGUGCAACAGUAACAAGGGUGAGUGCUAGAAGGCUUUGCUGCAAAGCACAUUCCUGGUUUAUUGCUGUAGAAUGAAGUGUUUUGAGACUAAAAUGCUUGUACAGUUCUGACCUUCAGCACAGAAGAGGAGAUUUUCCAUCAGCCGCUGUGUGGUACCACGGGAGCAGAGCUCUGGGAAACCACACCAGUCCCAGUAAACAGCAUGGAAGCCUUCUGUAUAAACACACGUGUGUCUCUUCUUCUCUCUUUUCUCAUCUAUAAAAUUAUUAAAAUACAUUAUAUCUCCGGUAAAAUAUCACAUUUACUCGAAGCUACAGAAUUUUCAUAAUCCUGAAGGUAAUCACAAAACCUACCAUGUAUCUGACUAUUUAUAAAAAAAAAAAAACAAGCUAAAAUUAUUAGAUUUUGUGUUGCUAAACCCACACUACUUUUUAAUUUUAUUUUAUUUUGUGUGUGUGCCUGUGCAUUUCAUUUGGUGGUACAAAGGGAUUAGAACUCUCCAAGGGCUUUUAAUAUCUUCUCUUAAGUUUUCAUCUGGGCUUUCCAGCUCAAAUACUGCAAAGUGUUAUUCCAGCUCAUUAUU